rnacentral:rRNA from 1 species
GAUGAACGCUGGCGGCGUGCCUAAUACAUGCAAGUCGAGCGAAGCGGGGACGGGUGGGUAACACGUGGAUAACCUCCUAUAAGAAUGGGAUAACUUCGUUGAGCCGGCGCUAAACCGGAUACUUAUAGAUGGAUCCGGGCUGCAUUGGCUCGUUGGUAAGGUAACGGCUUACCAAGGCAACCAUGCAUAGCCGCCCUGAGAGGGUGAUCGGCCACACUGGAACGGAGACACGGUCGAGACGCCUACGGGAGGAAGCAGUAGGGAAUCUUCCGCAAUGGGCGAGAGCCGGAUGUAGCAACGUCGAGUGAGUGAUGAAGGUCUUAGGACCGUAAAACGCGGUUAGCAGGGAAGCGGUACCUAAACAGAAAGCCACGGCUAACUACGUGCCAGCAGCCGCGGUAAUAC